GCUCGAGUGGCAUAGCAGCUCCGAAGCUUCCCGCACCCACACCCACGAUUUACUUGCAGUUCCAAUUUUCAUGCCCAUUCCGCCCACACUACUGUCGGCGCUGCCCCGCACCGGCCGGCGCCGCGCCUCACUGCUGCCCUCGCCGCCCCGUGCUCGUCGCGGCGCCCUACCUUCGGUCCGCCCCAUCCUCUCGGACGAUGCAGUGUUGUUUCUCUGGAGUCCAUGGCUGACUAGGUGCUACCGCGCUGGAGGCCCAAGCGGCCAAUCCGAGGACCGCCGCCAGCCACUUCCGCAACUCCGCCAUUGUGCCACGCUAGGUCAUUAGGAGUCGCAAGUCUUCUCGGAUCUGGAGGUCCUGCUCCGCUUGGCUUCCCCUCUCCCGACACCAGCCGCAAUGAAUUGCUUGACGCUGACGAGUACGAAGCACCCAACAUCGGCGAGGAGCCACCGGACAACGAGUUCGUGAUGACCCAUUGACUCCUGCCAAGUACGAUCGGAAAAUUCGCGCAACAGCAGGGAUGAAGCAGAUGGUCAUGAAGCAGAAGCUCGAGUUCCAAACUGCCCUUCCUAGUUGGUAUAUAUUAAGUGUGGUGUGCACCUCCAAGCCUCAAAGGUGAAUAAAAUCCUACCUCAUUAGUUCAGAUUCAGAGCUAGUUUGUUUGUUCGGCUUCAGCAAAGGCUUCAAACAAAUAUGAAAUGAAGCAACACUGCUCUAAUAAUGUGAUUUGCAUGAAGACAUUUAAUUCACCCAACCAGUUUGGGUUCAGUAGGUGUUAUUUAUCUAUGUAGUGUUGGAUAAUCAUUCUAACUUAUUUUUUCACCAUUCUUAUUCUAGUAGUAUUGUUCAUUGGCAUUUAGCCUUAUAGGUCUGUAAUUUUGCUCCAUGUAUCUGAUGUGAAAAUAGAAUCCUUUCUUUGUCAGGCUUGUAAAGAUUGUGAGUAGAAUAGGAAAUGUAUUCAUUUGGAGAUGAAACUUCAUCAUCCUAGAACAACAAUGCCAUGUUAAUGCAAUAUGAGCAAUUAAGAAUGUUGUAAGAUUGACCAAGACUUUGCUUUGUAAGGUUGACAAAUUGACAUCUUAACAUGGCUAUACAUUGAAGUUCUUUUUAUUAUUGCCAUGGUAUAUUAUAUCAUUGGACAUCUUUGCUUGGCAUAUAUUUGAAUGUUGAAUGGUUUUGGGAUCCCUGUUUGAAAAUUCUAAAUAUUAUUCUAAAGUUUGUCGGGAGGGAAUGAUGGGGAACAUAGAGAGUGAUGGAGGCCUAAGAGAGGGAUAUGCGAUGGAGAGAGCGAGUGAAUGAGAGGUGAUAAGGGAAAAGAUAGAAAUGUGUAUAUGUUGUAGAUCUAAAAUGAGCAUGAUUCAUUUGCUUUUGCAUUCAACAAAUAUUUCAGCAUGAGUUCCGUCAAGUUGCAGUUUAUUUUUUCCUUGAACACACACGUCAUUGUCUUAAACGAAAGAAGUGAUCCUAAAUAAUGUGGAAUUCAUGGCUAGGUUAGUCUUUUAAUACAUUUGGCUGUAGUUCAAAUUAUAAUUAUGCAGUAACAUCUGGUUUUGGAAAUCCUAGUGCUCAUUCCAUGGGCUAUUGGUGUCGCCUCCCAGCUUUAGUUGCUUUUCUUUGCUAGAUUUCACAUUUCCCUUUUCCCAUUAAAAAUGUUAAUUCAUUGAUGUUUUGCUAGUUAUUUAAGAAAGCACAAAUCAGUGCAUCUAGCAGUCUAAUUUCUCUUUCAAUCUAAUUUUAUGUUUUUCUUUUUACAGACAAGAACCCUUCUUAUGUGGAUGGAUGCUUUCAAUUGAUUACCACAAAUAUAUAGGUCUCUCCAUGGCCUACCUCUAAUAAACUAUUAGAAUUCUGAUAUCCUCCAUUACAUGUGCUAUAAUAGAUUGAUUUGGAAUUAUUUGUGGAUCCUCUACAAAUAAUCAUGGUUUCAAAGGGGGCUAGGCGUCUAGGCAAGAGCUGCGUGUGCGCCUAGACACCUUAUAAUACUUGGCCUUUUUUUGUUUUACUUUGGCAUUUUGCAAGUUACUCACCAUGGUUCCAGACUUCCAGUGGAUCUGUUUAUUAUAUUAGUAUGUAAGUAUAAUACCUUAAUUCAGUAACUAUAUCUAUUUUCACCAUUUUCUAGAGCAUCUAUAAUGUAUUCUUGGCUUACUGAAUUAUUUUUGCAAACUUAUUUCCCAUUUAUGUCAUCUUGAAGGCCCCAUACUUAUUUUCCAUCUAUGCAUCACAUACUCUGUUAUAAUCAUUCAUUUAUAAUGUUUUCUUUUGUUCCACUCUUUUAGACAGGUGAAGCAAUUGGCCCACAUUAGAGAGGGGUGUGAGAAGAAAGGGAUGCAUUAGUUUUUUUUGCUUUCAUUCAGAUAAAAAAGUAAUACAAUUUGGUGUGAGUUGUUGGAACUCCAAUAUUUAUGAUCCCAAUGAAAGGUUAUUUAGCUGUCAUAAAUUUCUACUGUGAUCUUGUGGAAUAACAUAGACAGAGCUACAAAACUAUGUGUAUUCAGAGUGCAAAGAGUAUUGCAUUCUUUCACGGUUCAUUUACUUGAACAAGAUAUGUUUUUGGUGAAAAAAGAUUUAUAUGGAUUGAAAUAUGCUUUGUA